AUUAAAUAUUAAUUAAAAAAAUUAAAUUAAACAAGAGUAAGAUGAAGUAUAUUUUUAAUUAAAAUGUAAUUAGAAAGGAGCACUUUUAAAGUGGAUUUGAUUUAAAAUAAUGAUAAAGCUGUUUUUUUAUGCAUUUGUAUAUAUUAUCCUCUACCGUGUUUAAGAAGAAGAGAAUAAUGAAGCUUUUUAAGAAAUAAUAUUUGGGUUUAUUUUAUUUUAUUUUCUCCUCACAGAUUCAAAUUUACGUCAACGUCCGUUACGUUGGUGACGUCACCGCGAGCGCGAGAAGUCGAAGUGAGGAGCAGAAAGCGUUGUUAGUGUUAGUUCUGGCCCGUUUGGACCCAAACUAAAGUGUAUCAGUAUGAAGCAGGCGGUGACGGCGCACUGAUUCACUCUCGGAGCUCGGUUCACUAAUGACCGAAUCACCGAGGAACCGACCAAAGAUAACUCACACCCGCACGGAGAAGAAGAACAAGAGGAGGAGAAGAUGAGCUGGAGUGGGGCAAAGAGAACUGCAUUCAGAUCAAACGGAUACGAGAGGUGGCCGAGUUGUUUGAGGAUCUGAAGAAUCGAGCGUCACAAUUCAACAUGCACAUCAGCGAAACUUCUCCCUCUGACUACACCAGCGCGCACACAGAAAUUCAUAGUGCAGGUGGCGAUUGCAGGCGCAUUUUAUCCGAACUGCUUCCUCCAGGGAACUGUGGACGAGGAGCUCGCCUCCAAGGAGCUCUAUGGAAACGACCCCAGGACCACCGUAGUGGUGUGUAAUCUCCCUCCAUUUGCAUUCCUCUACUAUAAACAGCUGCAGUCUCUCUUCAGACACUGUGGUUAAAUCAAAUCCAUCUCCUUUGACAGCUCCAGGGCCUAUGUAGAGUUCUACUGCUCGUCAAUGAGAGGUUCUGGCGUUCUCCCAGAGGUCUCUCUGUCUCUCCUCCUCGCGCAGCAGAGACUUCCUCUCCAUCUCAACGUUUAACCCGCUGGAGAGGUGGAGACUUGGGCAGGGGGGUAGUGUAUCUCACACCUCAGAUGUACACGGGUGAAUGUGGAUAUUCAGAAUCAGUCAGUGAGCCCUGUCGGGGUUCUGAGCAGCUCCAUUGAGAAUCUUCCGUCUAACCCUGUCUUUAUCGUCAAUAUCACCGAGGUGUCUGUUCCGCCUCUUUCACUUUCAGUGCACAAAUAAAAAAAGCAGUGGCUCCUGUGUGUGUGUGUGUGUGUGUGUGUGUGUGUGUGUGUGUGUGUGCGCACUAACAGGAUUUCAAUGUGUGUGUGUGUGUGUGUGUGUGUGUGUGUGUGUGUGUGUGUGUGUGCGCACUAACAGGAUUUCAAUGUGUGUGUGUGUGUCUGUCUGUGUGUCUGUGUGUGUGUGUGUGCACUAACAGGAUUUGUGUGUGUGUGUGUGUGUGUGUGUGUGUGUGUAGGUCAUCAAAGUCAGGCAUUUCUGGGGUUUCCAGGCUCACGCGGCAAGUCUGGAGAAACAGAGGUGGCUGACAGUGGCCGUUAAUACGCGGGCGCUCUGCCCACUUCCUGUCUCACUUUAUCCAAAUCUUCUGUGUCUCGCCCCUUUCUCUGAAACUCACACCAAACCUGGGAACUACUACAGAGCCAAAAUACUGCAUGUCAUGGGGAGUAAUGUGGAGGUAACAUCUGUACACACACACACACACACACACACGCGAACACCUACUAAAGCGCCUCCGUGAUGGAGAAUGGAGUGGUUACAGGAAAACUGCACAUUGAGUGUACACAUGUUUGUGUGUGUGUGUGUGUGUGUGUGUGUGUGUACAAGUGUUCUUUGUGGACUUUGGAAACAUUUCCAAGGUGCCAUGUAGUCUCAAACUAAAACAUCUAUUUACAAAGCUACAGUGCAGAAGAGUUACUCUGACCGGGGCAGGGGCUGGUAAGGUGUGAAAGCAGCUUGAAGUAUUUCAGUGUAGUACAUUCUGCUCAAGAGUCACUUUGGCUCCCUCCGCUCUAAUCUUGGCCAGCUGCUGGAUCUGCUGGAGCAUUCAGCGCAGCUAAGCGUGCUUGAGUUAGUUGUCUUACUGUUUGUGCUGCGCUGCACGUUAAACACAGUCAGUCAAACAGGUGCGCAAUGAACGCGCAGAGAGAGACAGAGAAUAAGAGUGAAUAAGUUCAGACGUUACCCUAACAAAACAGUGGCGUCAUUGAGGAGUUGCUUGAUCGGGUCCUGCGCAGGUGGUUCUUGCGGAGGCGGUCCUUGCGCACGGGAUCUGGAUCUGGAUCGACAUCCGGACAUGGUCCAGUUAAUUUUUUUUUCCCACAAAAUUAUAAGUGAACACAAAAGUAUAUCUAUGAAUAUAUAUAUACACUAAAAUAACAACAAUGAAUGCAAACUUGUCCCAAUUUGUGAAGGUCAAACAUAAGCACGCACCACACAGCGCUGACUGCCUCGUGCAGUGACGGUUAGCGCUUUUUCUUGUUAACAAAAACAUUGUUUUUAAAUGAAGAAGUGUCGAUUAAAUAGUUUUUUUUUUGCAUAAAGAAGAGUUAAGCUCGUCUUGGGAAUACAUUAAGAAGAUUGAAUACAAAUUUUGUGUGUCUUAAGACAAAAAAAAAAACGUUAUGUGGAACCGUCAUGCUAAGCAUGGUGGGGGGCAAAAAAAAGCGAGGCAUUUAUGACCAAAAGGGUUUUUUUUUAUGUAAUUCAUAGAAUUUCCAUACUCAAAGCACUUUUAAUUCUUUUUUCAUGUACAAAACUUGUUGAACAAUUCGAUUAUUAUAAUUUAGAUAAGGCUAAUUAUCUGACUAAAACCGGCUGGCAUUUGCUCGUUACUUAUUACAAACGAUUUAACUAGCAUUAGUUUAAAAACAAGAACACAAUUCUAAACAGAACUAUAAAAAUAAAUAUCAAAUUUUGCUUAAACAUCCUUACUGUGACUGUAUACUCCUGAGGAAAGCGCAGUUUGAAAAAACCUCCUCGCGCUGUAUCAACCCGCGCACACGUUUAUUUUAAAAUGUAAAUUA